rnacentral:rRNA from 1 species
GUGCCAGCAGCCGCGGUAAUACGGAGGGUGCAAGCGUUGCUCGGAAUUACUGGGCGUAAAGCAUACGCAGGCGGGCCGUUAAGUCGAGUGUGAAAGCCCGGGGCUCAACCCCGGAACUGCAUUCGAUACUGGCGGUCUUGAGUACGGGAGAGGGAAGUGGAAUUCCUGGUGUAGAGGUGAAAUUCGUAGAUAUCAGGAGGAACACCUGUGGCGAAAGCGGCUUCCUGGCCCGAUACUGACGCUCAUGUAUGAAAGCGUGGGGAGCAAACAGGAUUAGAUACCCUGGUAGUCCACGCCGUAAACGAUGAGUGCUAGCUGCUGGAAAUGCUUACCAUUUCAGUGGCGAAGCCAACGCAUUAAGCACUCCGCCUGGGAAGUACGGCCGCAAGGCUAAA